AUUCACAGACACAGAAAGUGGCAUUUAAAAGGUUAAAUCAUCACGCAACCUCGAAUGUUGUUGUCAUCUUUCUGCUCCUGUAAAAAGAAACACACAUAGAUUCAUCUGCACCUUUGUCAGUGUGCUGCCCCUUUAAGGCAGGCAUGGUAAUUUGGGUGUGUGUUUUUUGUACCAGCAGACUUGCCGUAGUACCUCACCAGUGAAAAACAGUCCUGUAGCCAAACUGUUGUCUGUUCCACUUUUUGUUCACUUUUUCUUGCUGAGCCUGAGAGAGCACAUGCCUUUUUACAGUGCUUCAACAGUAAACAUCUAAAACGUAUCCGCUGACUCCUGGAUGUUUAUUGUGGACCUGUUAGCUAUCUGCCAAGCUAGAAACCAGCUUCACAUCCUAGUGAGGGCAGAAUAGUAAAAAGGCAUCGUCCCAACACGGCUACCUACAGAAAAGUGGAUCUGCGUGGAAACACAGUUUCUUCUGUUUCUUCUAAGCUACAAUGGAUAGUAACGACGACACGCUUGAGACGCGGUCAAUAUGCUCCAACACCUCACGUGCCAGUCAGCGCUCUUCAGCCAGUGUCAUUGCAGCCAGGGCACGGGCAAAAGCAGAGGCUGCACGUGCUCAAGCACUAUUUGCACAAAAAGAGGCAGAUAUGUUAAAAGCACAAGCAUAUAUUGAGGAGGAACAACAAAAAGCAGCAGCUGAGGCUGCCAGGAAGAAAGCAGAGCUGCAGGCCAGUUUGCAUACCUUGAGACUAGAGGGCGCGGCUGCAGCUGCCAUUGCUGAAGCGAAUGUUCUUGAAGCAGCUGUUGAGAAUGAAUUUGGGGAGUUAGAUCGGGUUAGCCUGAAAAAUGAAUACGUUGAGCAUAAUCCAAGUCCUGAACCUCACCAAGACUCAGAGCUACCAGAACUCAUGCCAACUCUGAUGCACCAACUACCAGUCGACAGUGAUGAGAUCAGCAAAUACGACUUGCCUGUUCAGAGAACAUCCAAAUUGAGUCAAGAUGCCACUUCCUAUUACCCUCAUACUCAAAGCCCCUGCAGGACAGGCCCAUUCAAGCAAGAACAUUCACACAGCUUAAAUCCAUCCAAGGAUACGUACAGACACCAGACACAGUCACAUGAUAUGAGACAAUACAGCAGUAGCUACCAACCGCCUCAGCCUCAUACAGGUGCUGCCAGAACUGACGAGCCCACUUCAUCAUCGACUACAGACCUGGCCAAGUAUCUAAUACGGCGAGAGAUGAUAAGCUCUGGGCUGUUAAGGUUCGACGAUCAGCCGGAAAACUAUUGGGCCUGGAAGCAAUCCUUCCACAGUUCUACAGAGGACUUAAAACUGACGUCAAGAGAGGAGCUUGAUCUGCUAUGUAAAUGGCUGGGACCAAAGUCAUCAGAGCAUGCUAAGAGGAUACGAGCGGUCCACAUACACGAUGCAGCUGCAGGUGUAAGAAUGGUAUGGCAAAGGUUGGAAGACUGCUAUGGAUCGCCGGAAGCAAUUGAAGAAGCUCUCCUAAAGAAACUGGAUGAUUUUCCAAGAAUCUCAAAUCGAGAAAAUCAAAAGCUGAGAGAGCUGGGAGACAUUCUCUUGGAGCUUGAAGCCGCCAGAGCCGAUGGGUUCCUACCAGGCCUCAGUUACCUGGACACAUCUCGGGGCAUCACUCCAAUCGUCCAAAAGUUACCAUACUCCCUGCAUGACAAGUGGGUCUCUCUAGCAUCUCGUUACAAAGAAAGUCAUCAAGCGUCUUACCCACCGUUCUCCUUCUUCGCAAAGUUUGUUUGUGAUCAAGCCAAAAUGCUCAAUGAUCCAAGCUUUGCCCCUCUUACAGGUGGCUGGAGGACAGGGAAGCCAGAACACCCCUUCAAAUCAAACAUGAAAAUACCCAUUUCUGUCAAAAAGACAGAAGUCUCCUCAAACUCUAAAAGCAUGCAAGCCAGCCCCUCAGGGAAGAGGAGGGCCGAACCAGAUGAACAAUGCCCACUCCAUAACAAACCACACCCCCUCAGAAACUGUCGUGGGUUUAGGAGUAAAUCUUUAGAUGAAAGGAAAGCUUAUCUUAAAGAGAAUAGUAUUUGCUUUAACUGCUGCGCUUCAUUCACUCAUCUAGCGAAAGACUGCCACAAAAACGUUCAGUGCAGAGAGUGCAGGAGUGAGAACCACCCUACUGCGCUACACCCAGGGCUGGCCCCCUGGAUAUCAGAGACUCCUGUAACCACAAGAGAGCAAGGCGGGGAGCAAGAAGAAGAAGCUCCUCAAGCUGUCACAGCAAAAUGCACAGACAUUUGUGGGACUACCGUCAGAGCAAAGUCGUGCUCCAAAAUCUGUCUUGUCAGAGUUUAUCCAGCUGGCCAGAGGGAGAAAGCUGUUAAGGCGUACGUUGUUCUCGACGAGCAAAGCAACAAGUCUUUGGCAAGAACAGAGUUUUUUGAGCUCUUUGGAGUUACAGAGGGCACGGCAGCAUACACCUUGAAGACCUGCUCAGGAGUUAUGGAAACAACAGGGCGCCGAGCUAACAAUUUCAUCAUGGAGUCAUUAGAUGGUAAGACUCACAUUCCACUCCCCACCUUAAUCGAAUGUGACAUGCUCCCUGAUGAUAAGUCUGAAAUCCCCACACCGGAGAUCGCCAGACAUUAUCCACAUUUCAAACGGGUUGUGGAUAAAAUCCCGGCUAUAGAUCCAUCAGCAAGCAUCCUGAUCUUGCUCGGUCGAGAUGUACCACAGGCACACAAGGUUCGAGAGCGAUGCAAUGGGCCCCACGAUGCCCCCUACGCCCAGCGUCUCGACUUGGGAUGGGUGAUUGUGGGAGAGGUUUGUCUCGGAAGAGCUCACAAACCGGAGUUUGUAAACGUCCAUCGGUGCAACGUGCUGAGUAACGGUCGUACAUCUCUGUUUGACCCUUGCACUAACAGUCUACACAUCAAAGAGAAGCUUGACACUCCAGAGCAGCAUCGUCAGUUUCUAGGAGCUAACGCAGCCGAAAUCCUGUUUGAUGGGAAAGAUGGCCUUGGGGAAGGGGUCUUCCAGCAAACGCCAUAUGACAACAAGCCUGCCAUGUCUGUGGAAGACAAACUCUUUCUGGAAAUAAUGGACAACGAGUUCUUCAUAGACGACUCGAAUAGUUGGGUGGCACCACUACCCUUCAGGCAACCAAGGCGCAAACUCCCUAACAACCGAGCCCAAGCAGUCAAGCGUCUUUUGACACUACGGCACAUGCUGGAGAAGAAGCCAGACAUGAAAGAACACAUGAUUGCCUUCAUGCAGAAGAUCUUUGAGGCAGGUCAUGCUGAACCAGUACCACCAACCACUGGUGAACAGGAGUGCUGGUAUUUACCAAUCUUUGGAGUGUAUCAUCCACGAAAACCAGAUCAGGUACGGGCAGUGUUCGACUCCAGCGCUAAGCAUGAUGGUGUCUCACUGAAUGACAUCCUGCUGAGUGGCCCUGACUUGAAUAAUUCACUUUUAGGAGUCCUCAUCCGCUUCCGCAAGGAACCUGUAGCGGUGGCAGCAGACAUAGAACAGAUGUUCUAUUGUUUCAAAGUCCGCCAUGAUCACCGGGACUUUCUACGUUUCUUCUGGUUCGAGGACAAUGACCCCACCAAGCGCAUCACAGAGUAUAGGAUGACCGUGCACGUAUUCGGCAACAGCCCCUCUCCCGCUGUUGCCAUAUACGGCUUGAGAAGAGCAGCUCUGCAAGGACAGGAAGACCACAGUGCAGAGGCAAAACAGUUUGUUCUAAAGAACUUCUACGUGGACGAUGGUCUUGCUUCCUUCCCCACCGAUGACAACGCCAUCCGAGUCCUGAAGGAAACCAAGGAGAUGUUGGCUGAUUCCAACAUACGGCUACAUAAGAUAGCCUCCAACCACGACGUAGUAGUGGAGGCGUUUCCACCUGAGGAACGGGCUAAAGAGCUGAAAGACCUAGAGCUAGGUGUGGAUCCGUUGCCUAUGCAGAGAAGCUUAGGUCUCAACUGGCACCUUCAAACCGACAGCUUUACCUUUCUUGUCUCCCAGGAGGAGAAGCCCUUUACCCGUAGAGGUAUUCUCUCCACAGUUAACAGCAUAUUCGACCCGUUGGGGUUUGCAGCUCCUAUUGUAGUCCAGGGCAAGGCGAUAGUCAGAGAGCUAUGCGCUGAGCAUUGCGAUUGGGACACCCCAAUACCUGCUGAAAAAGUGGCACAGUGGAAGUCUUGGAGAGACUCGCUGAAGGCACUCGAGCAACUUCACAUACCAAGGCCAUACCUACCUGUUUCCCUGCUUUCCACACAGCACAGGGAGUUAUGUGUCUUUUGCGACGCGUCCACCAUGGCCAUCUCUGCAGUUGCCUACCUAAGGGCAGUGGAUGAUGAAGGACACUGUCUUGUAGGAUUCUGCAUGGGGAAAUCUAAAUUAGCACCCCGGCAUUCCCAUACUGUUCCCCGUCUAGAGCUUUGUGCGGCCGUACUAGCAGUUGAGCUGGCUGAUAUCUUGAGGGAUGAGCUAGAUGUCGAAAUCCACACAGUGAAGUUUUACACAGACUCCAGAGUUGUGCUGGGCUACAUCUACAACGCCAACCGGAGAUUUUAUGUGUAUGUUGCUAACAGAGUAGCACGCAUCCGGAAGUCUUCACAGCCUGAACAGUGGCACUUUGUCAGUUCGGAACACAAUCCUGCCGACCAUGGUACCAGACCAGUUCCAGCUGCACUGUUGAGAGAUACAAACUGGUUUUCUGGGCCGUCGUUUCUUGAGAAGGAUGAGAGAGUUGCGUUUACCCCACCAGAGUUCUUUGAGCUUGUUGAACCAGACAGGGAUGCAGAUGUGCGUCCACUGAUUGCAACCUUUGCUACAGGAGCUUCUGAAAGACAGCUUGGUUCACACAGGUUUGAGCGCUUUUCCAGCUGGAAGACACUUGUAUGUGGCAUAGCAAAGCUCAUCCAGAAAGUCAGAUCCUGUGCUAAGACUCUGGGGGGAGAUUCGACAAAGGUGGAUGAGCGUACACAGGCAAGAACAGUAAUCGUACAGACUGUACAGCACGAGGCCUUCAAAGAAGAACUCAAGAGCCUGUUCAAAGGAGAGCUUGUCCCAAAACACAGUCCUCUCAGGAAACUUGACCCUUUCUUGGAUUCAGAUGGUGUACUGAGAGUUGGUGGCCGCACGUCAUUAUCCGCAAUCUCAUGGGAAGAGAAACAUCCUAUAAUCAUUCCCAAAAGCAACCACAUUGCUACCUUGUUGGUGCGGCAUUAUCAUGAGCAAGUAGUACACCAAGGUAGGCACUUCACGGAAGGGGCCAUCAGAUCCGCUGGACUGUGGAUUCUGGGAGGAAAAAGACUUCUAUCAAGUAUCAUACACAAGUGUGUCACCUGUAGGCGGUUGAGAGGAAGUCUGGAAAAACAAAAAAUGUCCGACUUACCUGCUGAUCGGUUGAUCCAAUCUCCUCCUUUCACCCAAGUUGGAUUAGAUGUUUUUGGACCAUGGACGGUUUGUGCCCGUCGCACAAGGGGAGGCCUUGCAGAGAGUAAGCGCUGGGCUGUUAUGUUUACCUGUUUAGUAACCAGGGCAGUUCACCUGGAGGUGAUAGAAUCUCUGUCUACGUCGAGCUUCAUAAAUGCGCUUAGGCGAUUCACUGCCAUCAGAGGUCCAGCAAAGCUCUUUCGUUCAGACCGAGGCACGAACUUUGUCGGUGCAUGUAAAGAACUUGGUAUAACCCCACAAGAUGCAACACUUCAGUCUUACCUGAAAGACCAAGGCUGCACAUGGGACUUCAAUCUUCCACACUCCAGCCACAUGGGGGGAGCAUGGGAAAGAAUGAUAGGGAUGGCUCGCCGCAUUUUGGAUAGCAUGUUACUCAAGAUGCAUUCCCCUAGUCUUUCACACGAAGUGCUCACCACGCUGAUGGCAGAGGUUGCAGCCAUCAUGAAUGCCCGGCCAAUAGUCCCUGUGUCUUCAGAUCCAGACAUGCCGAUCAUACUCACCCCUGCUAUGCUUUUAACACAAAAGGUGGACUCCGUGUCUGCUCCCUUGGAAGACAUUGACCUCAAGGAUCUCUACCGAAGUCAGUGGAAGCAAGUUCAAAGCCUUGCGGAUUCAUUCUGGAAAAGAUGGCGUCAAGAGUACCUGACGACACUCCAGCCGAGAAGGAAAUGGCAAGCAGAACAAGCCAGCCUGCAAGUUGGAGAUGUUGUGCUCCUAAAGGACAAGGAGGCUAAACGAAAUCAAUGGCCCACAGGACUUGUGGUAAAUACCUUUCCGGGUCAAGACAGCAGGGUCCGGAAAGUGGAGGUGAGAGUUGUUCAAGGAGGCACCCCCAGGGUGUAUUCAAGACCCGCCACUGAAGUUGUGUUGUUACUCAGAGGGACAUAGUGGUAUAGUCCUCUAUACCAGGCGGGGAGUGUGCUGCCCCUUUAAGGCAGGCAUGGUAAUUUGGGUGUGUGUUUUUUGUACCAGCAGACUUGCCGUAGUACCUCACCAGUGAAAAACAGUCCUGUAGCCAAACUGUUGUCUGUUCCACUUUUUGUUCACUUUUUCUUGCUGAGCCUGAGAGAGCACAUGCCUUUUUACAGUGCUUCAACAGUAAACAUCUAAAACGUAUCCGCUGACUCCUGGAUGUUUAUUGUGGACCUGUUAGCUAUCUGCCAAGCUAGAAACCAGCUUCACAUCCUAGUGAGGGCAGAAUAGUCAGGUGGGGGUUAACUUCACACAGUGAUGUCAGUCAGUCUGUCAGCUUCUGUCCGCUUUUACCAGUCAGUCAGUUUUAUUUUCUCUCACUCAUUCAUUCAUGCAUUCAUUCAUUCUUUCUUUGCUGACGGUGGAAAUUAUUGUCGCAUUUUCAUUUCCACUUCUCAGCAAAAUGACGUCAUUUCAAAAAGAAAAGAAGAACUUUAUAUUGGAUUCUCUCGCUUAAUCCUUUUUUGGGUAGGGACCUAUUUUCUAAUUGUCCCAUAUAAGUGACUUUCUCCAGAGCCCAUUGUAAUCUUUUGGAGAAACUCACUUGCAACAAUUUUCUCGACGACACGUCGUAUAGCGCUUCUGUUCUAAU